UGGCGACCGGCGCACGGAUGCGUAACGCGUAUGCAACCUACCUUUUACAGGGGCAUAACACUGAGAAAUUGGUACUAAUUCCCCAUAAUAUCUGAGACGGCAUCGUUUUGGGUUGAAAACUCCGGUGGUAAAAGAUGGGCAUGCGUUGUAUUAGCUAGUUGGUGAGGUAACGGCUCACCAAGGCGACGAUACAUAGGGGGACUGAGAGGUCAACCCCCCACAUUGGUACUGAGACACGGACCAAACUCCUACGGAAGGCAGCAG
rnacentral:rRNA from 1 species